GACUACUCGCAGUUUCGGACGCGCAUUAGAGUAGCCUCAAACCUAGCUUUUAUCUCGUUGGAACACCAACUGAAAAUAUCAAAGAUAUCACUUUCAAAUAUUCAGCUGAGUUAUCACAAGUUUAAACAGUCGCUGUCGUAGCUAUCUGAAAUCGGUGCAAGCUCUACGUUGGAAUUUGGAGAAGAAGAGCUAAUGUGGAGUUGUGGUUGAAGAUAAAGGUGAUUUUAGGCUUAGGAGGCAAGGAUUGGAUCAAAGAAGUGAAGAAAAAGCAUGCAAAGUGGAGAAUUCAUGAAGAAAUGAGGAUUUGGUGGAAUUCACUGCCACACGUACGUAUGACACUCGUCACGUGACUUCAUUAAAGAAAAUGUGGCUGGCAAUUUCUGAGCUCAUCCAAGCCCAAAUCCAACUCAUUUCUGAAGUAUUUGAGGUAGAAUUCAAGAAGGAACAAGAGGGGAGCAAUUAGUGUAGCUUAGGAACCAUGCUUUAGGUCAUUUUCUAGAGAGAGAAGCUCCUUUUUCUCUCUAGCAUUAAGAUAGAUUUAGGUUAAUUUCAUCUUAGAUUUAGGUUAAAAUACUUGUUUUGAUUUAGUUUUUUUUACUUUUUCUUGUUCCAUUGCUUUAAUUCUCUUAGUUCUUCUUGUUAAUUUCUCAU